rnacentral:rRNA from 1 species
AGUUAACGCUGGCGGUAGGCCUAACACAUGCAAGUCGAACGGCAGCACAGUAAGAGCUUGCUCUUACGGGUGGCGAGUGGCGGACGGGUGAGGAAUACAUCGGAAUCUACUUUUUCGUGGGGGAUAACGUAGGGAAACUUACGCUAAUACCGCAUACGACCUACGGGUGAAAGCAGGGGAUCUUCGGACCUUGCGCGAUUGAAUGAGCCGAUGUCGGAUUAGCUAGUUGGCGGGGUAAAGGCCCACCAAGGCGACGAUCCGUAGCUGGUCUGAGAGGAUGAUCAGCCACACUGGAACUGAGACACGGUCCAGACUCCUACGGGAGGCAGCAGUGGGGAAUAUUGGACAAUGGGCGCAAGCCUGAUCCAGCAAUACCGCGUGGGUGAAGAAGGCCUUCGGGUUGUAAAGCCCUUUUGUUGGGAAAGAAAAGCAGCAGGUUAAUACCCCGCUGUUCUGACGGUACCCAAAGAAUAAGCACCGGCUAACUUCGUG